rnacentral:rRNA from 1 species
UACGGAGGAGGCAAGCGUUAUCCGGAAUUAUUGGGCGUAAAGCGUCCGCAGGUGGCACCUCAAGUCUGCUGUCAAAGACCGGGGCUUAACCCCAGAAAGGCAGUGGAAACUGAAGUGCUAGAGUGCAGUAGGGGUAGAGGGAAUUCCCGGUGUAGCGGUGGAAUGCGUAGAGAUCGGGAAGAACAUCAGUGGCGAAGGCGGCCUGCUGGGCAGUUGCUGACACUCGAGGCGCGACAGCGUGGGGAGCAAACAGG